AAUUUUCCGCAAUGGGCGCAAGCCUGACGGAGCAAUACCGCGUGAGGGAAGAAUGCCUGUGGGUUGUAAACCUCUUUUCUUGAGGAAGAAUCAAUGACGGUACUCAAGGAAUAAGCAUCGGCUAACUCCGUGCCAGCAGCCGCGGUAAUACGGGGGAUGCAAGCGUUAUCCGGAAUCACUGGGCGUAAAGCGUUUGUAGGUGGUUUUAUAAGUCUGCUGUUAAAUAUUAGGGCUCAACCCUAAACAAGCUGUGGAAACUAUUAAACUAGAGUAUGGUAUGGGCAAAGGGAAUUCCCAGUGUAGCGGUGAAAUGCGUAGAUAUUGGGAAGAACACCAGAAGCGAAGGCGCUUUGCUUGGCCAUUACUGACACUCAGAAACGAAAGCUAGGGGAGCGAAUGGGAUUAGAUACCCCAGUAGUCCUAGCUGUA
rnacentral:rRNA from 1 species